rnacentral:rRNA from 2 species
UACGUAGGGUGCGAGCGUUAUUCGGAUUCACUGGGCGUAAAGGGUGCGCAGGCGGCCGUGUGUGUGAGGCGUGAAAGCCCGGGGCUUAACCCCGGAAUUGCACCUCAAACUACACGGCUAGAGCAUUGGAGAGGGUAGCGGAAUUCACGGUGUAGCAGUGAAAUGCGUAGAUAUCGUGAGGAACACCAGAGGCGAAGGCGGCUACCUGGACAAUUGCUGACGCUCAGGCACGAAAGCGUGGGGAGCAAAAGGG